rnacentral:rRNA from 1 species
CAGCCCCUCGAGUGGUGGGGAUGAUUAUUUGGCCUAAAGCGUCCGUAGCCGGCCGGGUAAGUUUCCCGUUAAAUUCAACGUCUCAAGCGUUGGACUGCGGGAAAUACUGCCAGGCUAGAGAGUGGGAGAGGUCAGCGGUAUUCUGGGGGUAGGGGCGAAAUCCUUUGAUCCCCGGAGGACCACCAGUGGCGAAGGCUGCUGACUAGAACACGUCUGACGGUCAGGGACGAAAGCUGGGGUAGCGAACCGGAUUAGAUACCCGAGUAGUCC